rnacentral:tRNA from 1 species
UAAGGAGAUUGACUAGAAAUCAAUUGGGCUCUGCCCGCGUAGGUUCGAAUCCUGCUCGCUGCG